GCUCAUUGACGUUACCCGCAGAAGAAGCACCGGCUAACUCCGUGCCAGCAGCCGCGGUAAUACGGAGGGUGCAAGCGUUAAUCGGAAUUACUGGGCGUAAAGCGCACGCAGGCGGUUUGUUAAGUCAGAUGUGAAAUCCCCGGGCUCAACCUGGGAACUGCAUCUGAUACUGGCAAGCUUGAGUCUCGUAGAGGGGGGUAGAAUUCCAGGUGUAGCGGUGAAAUGCGUACAGAU
rnacentral:rRNA from 1 species